CUUGGAGGACGAAUAGCAAUAGUUAGUUGCGCCAAUAACAGUUGGAGCAAAAUCGACUAUGUCGAAUAAAGUUCUAAGUAGAUAUAUGAUAAUGACAUUGUUUGCUUAUGUGUCUUGACCAAAUUACGUGCCAGCAGUCGCGGUAAUACGUAGAAGACUAGUGUUAUUCAUCUUUAAUUGGUUUAAAGGGUACCUAGACGGUAAAUAAAGCUUUUAAAAACAGGACUAAUUUACUAGAGUUACUUGUGAGGGGGUAUUAAGGUACUUAAGGUGUAGAGAUGAAAUUCUGUCAUACCUCUUUUCGAAAGAAAACAUAUGGCACAGGUAUAGGCGAAAGCAUCCCCUUAUGUGAUAACUGACGUUGAAGGACGAAGGCUUUGUGUCGCGAACAGGAUUAGAUACCCCAGUAGUCAAAGCAGAAAAUGAUGAAUGUCAUAGACUAGAUAUUUAAUUUAUUCUAUAAAUGAAAGUGUAAGCAUUCCACCUCAAGAGUAAUUUGGCAACAUUGGAACUGAAAUCAUUAGACCGUUUCUGAAACCAGUAGUGAAGUAUGUUGUUUAAUUAGACAGUCCUCAAAAAACCUUACCACAAUUUGAAUAUUUAUAUCUUUUUUCUACUAUUUAUACCCUUUUUACUGCUCUUAAAAUAAAUUUAGGAAUAAACGUUUAAAGGUAAAAACAGAAGUAAAAAGGUAUAUAUACAAGCGUUGCACGGCUGUCUACAGUUAAUGUCGUGAGAUUUUGGUUAGUUCCAUUAAAUUAACGUAAGCCCUUACUUUAUUUUUAUAUGAAGUUGUUCCCCGCUAUAUUGGAAAGAUAACAGGGACUAAGAC
rnacentral:rRNA from 1 species